GCAUGGACGAAUUCUGCGUUGGCUUUGACAAUGGCUGAUGGAGUCAGACACCAUGCAAGAAUAACGUCUCUGUCUCGGAUCUUCCUCAUGGCCUGCUCUGCCUAAGGCGGCACGGCCCCAUCUGAAAGGGAUACACAG